rnacentral:misc_RNA from 1 species
AAGUCGUAACAAGGUUUCCGUAGGUGAACCUGCGGAAGGAUCAUUAACACUUUUUCUUUUCUAACAAACCCCAAUGUGAACUUGUAAUCUACCCCUAUGUCAAAACAAUUCUUUUCUUCUUCUUCUUAGGAAAGAGAAAAAAAAGUUGUUCGAACUGAAAAAUUGAAAUGGUGUGUUUAGUGUAUAUUUUCUUAUUCACUUUACAUUCAGUUUGUUAAUUUGCUAGGGCCCUUCUGUUUUUCCUUCUCUUUUGCUUUUUCAACCUUUUUUAACCAUUUUUCUUCCAAGGUUUGGAGAAGA